rnacentral:rRNA from 1 species
GAUGAACGCUGGCGGCGUGCCUAAUACAUGCAAGUCGAGCGAACGGACGAGAAGCUUGCUUUUCUGAUGUUAGCGGCGAACGGGUGAGUAACACGUGGAUAACCUACCUAUAAGACUGGGAUAACUUCGGGAAACCGGAGCUAAUACCGGAUAAUAUUUUGAACCGCAUGGUUCAAAAGUGAAAGACGGUCUUGCUGUCACUUAUAGAUGGAUCCGCGCUGCAUUAGCUAGUUGGUAAGGUAACGGCUUACCAAGGCAACGAUGCAUAGCCGACCUGAGAGGGUGAGCGGCCACACUGGAACUGAGACACGGUCCAGACGCCUACGGGAGGCCGCAGUAGGGAAUCUUCCGCAAUGGGCGAAAGCCUGACGGAGCAACGCCGCGUGAGUGAUGAAGGUCUUCGGAUCGUAAAACUCUGUUAUUAGGGAAGAACAUAUGUGUAAGUAACUGUGCACAUCUUGACGGUACCUAGUCAGAAAGCCCCGGCUAACUACGUG